rnacentral:rRNA from 1 species
UACGAAGGGGGCUAGCGUUGUUCGGAAUCACUGGGCGUAAAGGGCGCGUAGGCGGCCUGAUAAGUAGGGGGUGAAAUCCUGCGGCUUAACCGCAGGGCUGCCUUCUAAACUGUCAGGCUAGAGCACAGUAGGGGCAGGUGGAAUUCCCGGUGUAGCGGUGGAAUGCGUAGAGAUCGGGAAGAACAUCAGUGGCGAAGGCGGCUGACUGGUCCGGUUCUGACGCUGAGGCGCGAAAGCGUGGGGAGCAAACAGG